rnacentral:lncRNA from 1 species
CCAGAGCCCUUGGGAACAUCUUAGAAGUAGAGUGAAUCCCAUGGGACUUUCCCAGUGGAGGCCUUGAUCACAUUUUGCAGGACAUUCAUUCAGUGCAGCUGCCAUGAUGUCAGGCCCUGUGUUGAAACCAUACCCAGGGAUGACUCAGUUAAGGGCCGGGGCCAUCUGUCUUUGCUAUCAGAGCCAGCUUUUCUGUGCUUCCAAGGGGAAAUACAGGCAAUUGUUAAUACCCCAAAAUACCUACUAUAGUCUUAAACAAAGUUGUCAACAGAUUGUUUGUCAGUGACUCAUG